AGUAUCAGAGUAGUAACUGGUUCCCGGAUUUCUUUUUUAACUGUUUUCCCUAAUGUGAGAUGUUCAGUUACCAGAUUGUUUACCGCAUGGAAACAGCAUGGCUGGACAGUGGGAUGUUAUCGCUGUUUGUUCCUGGCUCCAAUCCAAUGGAUUGGGGAAAUUUGCGGACUUUUUUACAGGAAAUCAAUGUCGGAUAUAAAUUGCCAGUAUUAUUUAAGAAGAAAUAGAUGGUAAUGCUUUAUUGGGCCUAAACGAA